rnacentral:rRNA from 1 species
UACGAAGGGAGCUAGCGUUGUUCGGAAUCACUGGGCGUAAAGCGCACGUAGGCGGAUGUGUCAGUCAGGGGUGAAAUCCCGGAGCUCAACUUCGGAACUGCCUUUGAUACAGCACAUCUGGAGUCCGGAAGAGGUGGGUGGAAUUCCUAGUGUAGAGGUGAAAUUCGUAGAUAUUAGGAAGAACACCGGUGGCGAAGGCGGCCACUGGUCCGGUACUGACGCUGAGGUGCGAAGC